GAUGAACGCUGGCGGCGUGCCUAAUACAUGCAAGUCGAGCGAACAGACGAGGAGCUUGCUCCUCUGACGUUAGCGGCGGACGGGUGAGUAACACGUGGAUAACCUACCUAUAAGACUGGGAUAACUUCGGGAAACCGGAGCUAAUACCGGAUAAUAUAUUGAACCGCAUGGUUCAAUAGUGAAAGACGGUUUUGCUGUCACUUAUAGAUGGAUCCGCGCCGCAUUAGCUAGUUGGUAAGGUAACGGCUUACCAAGGCAAUGAUGCGUAGCCGACCUGAGAGGGUGAUCGGCCACACUGGAACUGAGACACGGUCCAGACUCCUACGGGAGGCGGCAGUAGGGAAUCUUCCGCAAUGGGCGAAAGCCUGACGGAGCAACGCCGCGUGAGUGAUGAAGGUCUUCGGACCGUAAAACUCUGUUAUUAGGGAAGAACAAAUGUGUAAGUAACUAUGCACGUCUUGACGGUACCUAAUCAGAAAGCCACGGCUAACUACGUG
rnacentral:rRNA from 1 species